UACGUAGGGUGCAAGCGUUGUCCGGAAUUAUUGGGCGUAAAGAGCUCGUAGGCGGUUUGUCGCGUCGGCUGUGAAAACUCGGGGCUCAACCCCGAGCCUGCAGUCGAUACGGGCAGACUAGAGUGCGGUAGGGGAGACUGGAAUUCCUGGUGUAGCGGUGAAAUGCGCAGAUAUCAGGAGGAACACCGGUGGCGAAGGCGGGUCUCUGGGCCUUACCUGACGCUGAGGAGCGAAAGCGUGGGGAGCGAACAGG
rnacentral:rRNA from 1 species